UGUAUAUAGGCCAUUCCAAUCUAUACCAUGUUUUGGCAAUAAGGUCUUGCCUGUAACAGAUCCGGGUGAAAUAUCACGUGGAUCAUUCUACUUAAUUGCAUCGAUAGAACCUCAAGAAAAAUUCACCUGUUCGUCAGAGUAUAUACAGGAUAAUUGGAAUUGUUCCUUCACCGUUGGAAAUGUAAACAGGAGCCAGUGCGAUGGAUUUCAGCUUGCUGAAAAUGAUUCCACUGUCCAUCUUCAUUGCGGGUCUGUCAAAACAUCUCGGGUUUCCUGCAUCUAUCAAAAGGCACCCCCACCGCACGGCUUUAAAGUGUUUCCUGUUUACAUUUACAUCAAAGAUCAAGAUUCCACCAUAGGGACCGACUUGGCUGAACCAUCUAGUAUUGAAG